rnacentral:rRNA from 1 species
AUACGGAGGAUCCGAGCGUUAUCCGGAUUUAUUGGGUUUAAAGGGUGCGCAGGCGGCCAUUUAAGUCAGCGGUUAAAUCGUGGGGCUCAACCCCAUUCUGCCGUUGAUACUGGGUGGCUUGAUUGCGGUCGAGGUUGGCGGAAUUCGUUGUGCAGCGGUGAAAUGCAUAGAUAUGACGAAGAACACCGAUUGCGUAGGCAGCUGACCAGACCGCAAAUGACGCUCAUGCACGAAAGUGCGGGGAUCGAACAGGAUUAGAUACCCUGGUAGUCCGCACAGUAAACGAUGAAUACUUGUUUUCGGCGAUAUAAUGUCGGAGGCAAAGCGAAAGCGAUAAGUAUUCCACCUGGGGAGUACGCCGGCAACGGUGAAACUCAAAGGAAUUGACGGGG